CCAUCCUUGGUGUCUUCGUACUGUUACGACUGGUGGGUGAUGUGAAGGACUCAAUUGCACGACUCAGCACAGGGGUAGAUCGAAAGGGUGAAACGUUUUACUAGCCGAGUUCGGUACACAGGUAGGCAGUCCAAGAAUAGCAAACAAAUCCAGACAGGGAAUAGGCAGGAGAAUAGUUGUAGGGCAGGCAGAGGUCAGAAGCACGGGUAAUCACUUCAACAACGAGAAAAGCGCUAAACGCUAGGCACACGAGGAGCAGUGGAAAAACAAGGAACAUACCAUGAAACAACAAUUUACGAAGACACAACGAGGAACAAGAAAACAAGGACUAUAUACUACAGAUAACGAGGGACAGGUGAGAACAAUCAAGGCGGGGCAGACAAAGACACAGGUGGACUAAACAAGGGGAAUUAACAGGACACAGGUGAAACCAAUGAUACACACAACCCGGGAGAUUGGGAACAGGUGAGGGGUGGAGACACGGACAACAACAAGAGGGCACAUGGCAUAGACAAACAAACAUAGGGAAAGCACAUGGCGGGAACAAGGAAGCACGAGGACUAGACAUGGGAACAAACAUGUGACCACACAAGGGAGACACACAGAAAUUAAACACGGACAGAACACAGACCUUACAGAUAAGUGUAUGCACAAUAUACAGUAUGGCGGAAUGUCGAUUAGCAUGGUGUUUGUGUGUGUGUGUUUGAGUGUGUGCAUGUGUUUUUAUAUAACUGAAUGUGUGUGAGUGUGUGUGUGUAAGAGAGAGACAGUUUGUGUGUGGGUGUGCACGUUGAAUAACUCUGCAUAUAUUCAUUGGUACCUGUCACUCUUGGUCCCAGUGUUUCUCAUACCAUGCCCGUGUCUUCUCUUCAAGACGCCACCUGGUUCACGGCUACUGAGGUCACAGGGGAACUGCGAACCAUGAGAACCAUUGAUAAGACCUCAAGGUUUGUGUCCAACAGAGUCUACAACAUGAGCAUCAGGAGCAGAGGACUGUGUUAUACACAAGGGGCUCCAGCUGGGAUGACAGUCCGGUACUGAUCCUGGAUGAUGGCAUUGAAGGUGUUUUACUGAACUUUCAAUACAGAAGCUCCCUCAGAGUAUCUUGUAACACAAUUAGCGUAGUCUCCAACACCACAAACCUGUCACAUUCUCAUCAUUAUCAUCUUACUUCUCCUCUUCACCGUCAGCAUCCUCAUCCUCAUCACACAAUUAUCACCAGCAUCGAUUACUAUCACGCCACGUCUGGGAUAAUGUGCAGUCCACCGCUAAGUAUCGCAAAAUAAAUCGUGAAAGGACGAACA
rnacentral:lncRNA from 1 species